rnacentral:rRNA from 1 species
GACGAACGCUGGCGGCGUGCUUAACACAUGCAAGUCGAACGGUGAACGAGGGAGCUUGCUCCCUCCGGAUCAGUGGCGAACGGGUGAGUAACACGUGAGCAAUCUGCCCCGAACUCUGGGAUAAGCGUUGGAAACGACGUCUAAUACCGGAUACGACGCGGGAGGGCAUCCUCUCCGCGUGGAAAGAACUUCGGUUCGGGAUGAGCUCGCGGCCUAUCAGCUUGUUGGUGAGGUAACGGCUCACCAAGGCGACGACGGGUAGCCGGCCUGAGAGGGUGACCGGCCACACUGGGACUGAGACACGGCCCAGACUCCUACGGGAGGCAGCAGUGGGGAAUAUUGCACAAUGCGCGCAAGCCUGAUGCAGCAACGCCGCGUGAGGGACGACGGCCUUCGGGUUGUAAACCUCUUUUAGCAGGGAAGAAGCGAAAGUGACGGUACCUGCAGAAAAAGCACCGGCUAACUACGUG